CCUACGGGUGGCAGCAGUGGGGAAUUUUGCGCAAUGCUCGUAAGAGUGCCGCAGCGACGCUGCGUGAAUGAUGAAGGCCUUCUGAUCGUAAACCUCUGUCAGCAGGGAAGAACGGUCACUUUGCUAAUCAGCAGUGCAUUGACGGUACCUGCAAAGGCAGCACCGGCUCACUCCGUGCCAGCAGCCGCGGUAAUACGGAGGGUGCGAGCGUUAAUCGGAAUUACUGGGCGUAAAGCGCUCGUAGGCGGUAUGUCAAGUCAAGUGUGAAAUCCCCGCGCUCAACGUGGGAACUGCCGUUGAAACUGGCAGACUUGAGUGUGUGAGAGGAUAGUGGAAUUCCAGGUGUAGGAGUGAAAUCCGUAGAUAUCUGGAGGAACAUCAGUGGCGAAGGCGACUAGCUGGAACAUAACGGACGCUGAGGAGCGAAAGCGUGGGUAGCAAACAGGAUUAGAUACCCGAGUAGUC
rnacentral:rRNA from 1 species